rnacentral:ncRNA from 1 species
AUAAAAUUUUUAUGUUUUAUUAAAUUUAUUUUAAAUUUAUUUUACAUAUAAAUUUUAGUAUUAAAUUUUAAUUAUUUUAAUAAUAUUAAUUGAUUUUUAUAGUAAUUAAAAUUAAAAAUUUAAGAAAUUAAGAUUUAGUAAUAUAAAAAUUAAUAACUAAUUUUGUGCCAGCAGUUGCGGUUAUACAAAAGUUAAAUUAAAUUAUUUCAGUUUAUAAUAAAUAAAAUAAAUUUAAAGUAAAUAUUAAAUUAUUAGGUAAAAUUUUAAUUUAGUUAAAUUUUAUAUAAAUUUUAUGAUUUAAUAAAUUUAAAAAUAAACUAGGAUUAGAUACCCUAUUAUUUAAAAUUUAAUUGAUAAUGCUAAAAUAGUAAAUAAUAAAUAUUGAAACUUAAAUAAUAUGGCGGUAUUUUAGUUCAUUUAGAGGAAUCUGUUUAAUAAUUGAUAAUCCACGAAUAAAUUUACUUAAUUUAAAAUUUUAUAUAUCGUUGUUAAAAAAAUAUUUUAUAAUAAAAAUAAUAUUUAAAAAUUAAUAAUAAAAAAUUAAUUCAGAUCAAGAUGUAGAAUAUAAUUAAGAAUAUGAUGGAUUACAAUAAAAUAAUUUAGAUGAAUAAUUAUAGUUGUAAGAUUAAUUUGAAGGUGGAUUUAAAUGUAAUUUUAUUUAAUUUAGUAAAAUGAUUAAAAAUUGAAAUAUGUACAUAUUGCCCGUCACUUUCAUUUUAAAAUUGGAAUAAGUCGUAACAAAGUAGAGGUACUGGAAAGUGUUUCUAGAAUGAA